rnacentral:siRNA from 1 species
UGGUGACAAGGUUGAGUACU